AGAGUCUGAUCAUGGCUCAGAUUGAACGCUGGCGGCAGGCCUAACACAUGCAAGUCGAACGGUAACAGGAAGCAGCUUGCUGCUUCGCUGACGAGUGGCGGACGGGUGAGUAAUGUCUGGGAAGCUGCCUGAUGGAGGGGGAUAACUACUGGAAACGGUAGCUAAUACCGCAUAAUGUCGCAAGACCAAAGAGGGGGACCUUCGGGCCUCUUGCCAUCGGAUGUGCCCAGAUGGGAUUAGCUUGUUGGUGGGGUAACGGCUCACCAAGGCGACGAUCCCUAGCUGGUCUGAGAGGAUGACCAGCCACACUGGAACUGAGACACGGUCCAGACUCCUACGGGAGGCAGCAGUGGGGAAUAUUGCACAAUGGGCGCAAGCCUGAUGCAGCCAUGCCGCGUGUAUGAAGAAGGCCUUCGGGUUGUAAAGUACUUUCAGCGGGGAGGAAGGGAGUAAAGUUAAUACCUUUGCUCAUUGACGUUACCCGCAGAAGAAGCACCGGCUAACUCCGUGCCAGCAGCCGCGGUAAUACGGAGGGUGCAAGCGUUAAUCGGUAUUACUGGGCGUAAAGCGCACGCAGGCGGUUUGUUAAGUCAGAUGUGAAAUCCCCGGGCUCAACCUGGGAACUGCAUCUGAUACUGGCAAGCUUGAGUCUCGUAGAGGGGGGUAGAAUUCCAGGUGUAGCGGUGAAAUGCGUAGAGAUCUGGAGGAAUACCGGUGGCGAAGGCGGCCCCCUGGACGAAGACUGACGCUCAGGUGCGAAAGCGUGGGGAGCAAACAGGAUUAGAUACCCUGGUAGUACACGCCGUAAACGAUGUCGACUUGGAGGUUGUGCCCUUGAGGCGUGGCUUCCGGAGCUAACGCGUUAAGUCGACCGCCUGGGGAGUACGGCCGCAAGGUUAAAACUCAAAUGAAUUGACGGGGGCCCGCACAAGCGGUGGAGCAUGUGGUUUAAUUCGAUGCAACGCGAAGAACCUUACCUGGUCUUGACAUCCACGGAAGUUUUCAGAGAUGAGAAUGUGCCUUCGGGAACCGUGAGACAGGUGCUGCAUGGCUGUCGUCAGCUCGUGUUGUGAAAUGUUGGGUUAAGUCCCGCAACGAGCGCAACCCUUAUCCUUUGUUGCCAGCGGUCCGGCCGGGAACUCAAAGGAGACUGCCAGUGAUAAACUGGAGGAAGGUGGGGAUGACGUCAAGUCAUCAUGGCCCUUACGACCAGGGCUACACACGUGCUACAAUGGCGCAUACAAAGAGAAGCGACCUCGCGAGAGCAAGCGGACCUCAUAAAGUGCGUCGUAGUCCGGAUUGGAGUCUGCAACUCGACUCCAUGAAGUCGGAAUCGCUAGUAAUCGUGGAUCAGAAUGCCACGGUGAAUACGUUCCCGGGCCUUGUACACACCGCCCGUCACACCAUGGGAGUGGGUUGCAAAAGAAGUAGGUAGCUUAACCUUCGGGAGGGCGCUUGCCACUUUGUGAUUCAUGACUGGGGUGAAGUCGUAACAAGGUA
rnacentral:rRNA from 1 species